rnacentral:rRNA from 1 species
UACGUAGGGGGCAAGCGUUGUCCGGAUUUAUUGGGCGUAAAGAGCGUGUAGGCGGCCAGAUAGGUCUGCUGUGAAAACUCGAGGCUUAACCUCGAGAUGUCGGCGGAAACCAUCUGGCUAGAGUCCGGAAGAGGAGAGUGGAAUUCCUGGUGUAGCGGUGAAAUGCGCAGAUAUCAGGAAGAACACCCGUGGCGAAGGCGGCUCUCUGGGACGGUACUGACACUGAGACGCGAAAGCGUGGGGAGCGAACAGG